ensembl:snoRNA
AUUUGUUUGUGGUUCACAAGUAUGAUGAUCAGGUUUUCAUGCCAUUGAGUGAGAUGUUCCUCUCUCAAACCCUGUCACAGGCCUGGGGAUGUAGCUCAGUGGCACCGCCCCUGCCUGGCA